GAUGAACGCUGGCGGCGUGCCUAAUACAUGCAAGUCGAGCGAACAGACGAGGAGCUUGCUCCUCUGACGUUAGCGGCGGACGGGUGAGUAACACGUGGAUAACCUACCUAUAAGACUGGGAUAACUUCGGGAAACCGGAGCUAAUACCGGAGAAUAUAUUGAACCGCAUGGUUCAAUAGUGAAAUACGGUUUUGCUGUCACUUAUAGAUGGAUCCGCGCCGCAUUAGCUAGUUGGUAAGGUAACGGCUUACCAAGGCAACGAUGCGUAGCCGACCUGAGAGGGUGAUCGGCCACACUGGAGCUGAGACACGGUCCAGACUACUACGGGAGGCCGCAGUAGGGAAUCUUCCGCAAUGGGCGAAAGCCUGACGGAGCAACGCCGCGUGAGUGAUGAAGGUCCUCGGAUCGUAAAACUCUGUUAUUAGGGAAGAACAAAUGUGUAAGUAAAUAUGCACGUCUUGACGGUACCUAAUCAGAAAGCCACGGCUAACUACGUG
rnacentral:rRNA from 1 species